AUUGAACGCUGGCGGCAGGCCUAACACAUGCAAGUCGAGCGGAUGAAGGGAGCUUGCUCCUGGAUUCAGCGGCGGACGGGUGAGUAAUGCCUAGGAAUCUGCCUGGUAGUGGGGGAUAACGUCCGGAAAUGGGCGCUAAUACCGCAUACGUCCUGAGGGAGAAAGUGGGGGAUCUUCGGACCUCACGCUAUCAGAUGAGCCUAGGUCGGAUUAGCUAGUUGGUGGGGUAAAGGCCUACCAAGGCGACGAUCCGUAACUGGUCUGAGAGGAUGAUCAGUCACACUGGAACUGAGACACGGUCCAGACUCCUACGGGAGGCAGCAGUGGGGAAUAUUGGACAAUGGGCGAAAGCCUGAUCCAGCCAUGCCGCGUGUGUGAAGAAGGUCUUCGGAUUGUAAAGCACUUUAAGUUGGGAGGAAGGGCAGUAAGUUAAUACCUUGCUGUUUUGACGUUACCAACAGUAUAAGCACCGGCUAACUUCGUG
rnacentral:rRNA from 1 species